rnacentral:rRNA from 1 species
GAUGAACGCUGGCGGCGUGCCUAAUACAUGCAAGUCGAGCGAACAGAUGAGGAGCUUGCUCCUCUGCCGUUAGCGGCGGACGGGUGAGUAACACGUGGAUAACCUACCUAUAAGACUGGGAUAACUUCGGGAAACCGGAGCUAAUACCGGAUAAUAUAUUGAACCGCAUGGUUCAAUAGUGAAAGACGGUUUUGCUGUCACUUAUAGAUGGAUCCGCGCCGCAUUAGCUAGUUGGUAAGGUAACGGCUUACCAAGGCAACGAUGCGUAGCCGACCUGAGAGGGUGAUCGGCCACACUGGAACUGAGACACGGUCCAGACUCCUGCGGGAGGCAGCAGUAGGGAAUCUUCCGCAAUGGGCGAAAGCCUGACGGAGCAACGCCGCGUGAGUGAUGAAGGUCUUCGGAUCGUAAAACUCUGUUAUUAGGGAAGAACAAAUGUGUAAGUAACUAUGCACGUCUUGACGGUACCUAAUCAGAAAGCCACGGCUAACUACGUG